ACAACAGUUCGUUCUAUCGCUGUUUCACUCAGUUGAGAGAGAGGAAAGUCCGGGCAACAUAGAGCACCAUACUUCCUAACGGGAAGGUAUUUUGAGCAAUCAGAAUAACAGCAAGUGCCACAGAAAAUAACCGCCACGAUUCGUUGGGGUAAGGGUGAAAAUGUGAGGCAAGAGCUCACGUUCAGUAUUGGCAACAGUGCAGAAGGGUAAACCUUAUGGGUUGAAAGACCAAAUAUACCGGUUGUUAAGGGCUGCUCGUCCGAUGCCGGGGGGUAGGUCGUUAGAAACUAUCGGCGACGGUAGUCUUAGAUAAAUGAUAGAAGUCUUUCAGGGGAUACAGAACCCGGCUUACAGAACUGUUGUUUUU
rnacentral:RNase_P_RNA from 1 species